GAUGAACGCUGGCGGCGUGCCUAAUACAUGCAAGUCGAGCGAACAGACGAGGAGCUUGCUCCUCUGACGUUAGCGGCGGACGGGUGAGUAACACGUGGAUAACCUACCUAUAAGACUGGGAUAACUUCGGGAAACCGGAGAUAAUACCGGAUAAUAUAUUGAACCGCAUGGUUCAAUAGUGAAAGACGGUUUUGCUGUCACUUAUAGAUGGAUCCGCGCCGCAUUAGCUAGUUGGUAAGGUAAAGGCUUACCAAGGGAACGAGGCGUAGCCGAGCUGAGGGGGUGAUCGGCCACACUGGAACGGAGACACGGUCCAGACUCCUACGGGAGGCAGCAGUAGGGAAUCUUCCGCAAUGGGCGAAAGCCUGACGGAGCAACGCCGCGUGAGUGAUGAAGGUCUUCGGAUCGUAAAACUCUGUUAUUAGGGAAGAACAAAUGUGUAAGUAACUAUGCACGUCUUGACGGUACCUAAUCAGAAAGCCACGGCUAACUACGUG
rnacentral:rRNA from 1 species